rnacentral:rRNA from 1 species
ACUAUAUUUCAACCCUUAAACCUUGGAGGUCCCCAUCAUUCUUGCAAGCACUGUGGUGCUUUGUUUUGGUAUGAAGAGCGUCUACGCAGAGAAAGACAUACUCCAAAUCCAACAUAUAAUUUGUGUUGCAAGGGAGGAAAAGUUUACCUUCAGCCAUAUGAUCCUCCUCCUCAACACCUCUUGGAUUUACUGACAUCCCAAGACAGAACACUCUCCAGUCACUUCUUUAAACAUAUUAGGCAGUACAAUACGAUGUUUGCAAUGACUUCAAUGGGAGCUAAAAUUAAUGAAACCAUAAAUGAUGGACGAGGCCCAUAUGUUUUCAAGGUUAGUAGGCAGAUUUGCCACCGCAUUGGUUCCUUGAGACCAACUGGGGAGCGACCAGAAUAUGCACAGUUAUACAUGUUUGAUACUAAGCAUGAGGUCUCAAACCGAAUAAAUGUUGCUUCGUCUUCACGCUCUGCUUCAUCUUCACGCUCUACUUCGUCUUCACGCUCUUCAUUCCAAGCUAACGAAGGCAUUGUUCAAUCGCUCAUACAAAUGUUGAACACACAUUAUCCCAUUGUCAAGCUGUUUAGGACAGCAAGUCAAAGGUUAGCUGGGAGUGAUUCUGACCAUUUAACAAUCAGGAUAUAUGGCAAACCUGAUGCCCAUGGAGACAUCUAUAGGGCUCCAGAUGCGUCUGAGGUUGUUGGAUUAGUGGUUGGUGAUAUUGGGUCAUCUAAUGUAGGACGAGACAUUAUAAUACAAGACGAUUCAUCACAGUUAUAGCAAAUAAGUGAGAAACACCCCAAGUUUAUGUCCAUGCAGUAUCCUCUGUUAUUUCCAUACGGAGAAGAUGGCUACCAUGAUGAGCUUAUGUACCGGCAAAGAUCAAGCACUUCAGCCAAUCAGCGCCAAAAAGUCACAAUGCUACAAUACUACACAUAUAGGUUGCAUGAUAGGCCAAAUGACUUCAAUACUCCAUUACGAUGCAAAAGAUUAACACAGGCUUACUUUGUGGAUGGCUAUUGUUGUGUUGAAACACUCCGUAUUGGAUUCUACCGCAAGCCUAGCUUUCAGAGUAAAUACAGAUCAUCAUCGUUUAGUUCUUUGGCAAAUUCUGUAUCAAGAGGUAUUACAUCUGGUUCUUCUGUUGGGCAGAGGAUUAUAUUACCAUCCUCCUUUACUGGAGGCCCUCGCUAUUUAUACCAAAACUAUCAAGACUCCAACGCUAUUUUGUAG